AAAUAAUAACUCAAAUGACAUUAUGAUCUCUUAUACAAGUGAGUAAGAACAACAACUUUUUCUUUUUUUAUCUGCUUACUGGUUUCUCUGGGGUCCAUAAGGAUGUCCCCUUAUGCGUGAACCCAAUAUCUAAACUUGUCGAUUAUCCAGCCGUCCCCAUACCCCAUACAGUAUGAGCGCUAAAAUGUCAUCCCUCGAUACCCCGUCC
rnacentral:lncRNA from 1 species